ACAUGCCUACAACAUAGCGUUAAUUCACCGGAGCCCAUUAGAACUCUACAGUUAAGCACACUCAGGCUAGAAUAGUACUAGAAUAGGUGAUUGCCCAAGAAGUCCUAGUGUUUUACAUGCC
rnacentral:rRNA from 1 species